rnacentral:rRNA from 1 species
CACGUAGGGUGCAAGCGUUGUCUGGAUUCAUUGGGCGUAAAGGGCUAGUAGGCGGCUUAGCAAGUCGGGUGUGAAAACUUCAGGCUCAACCUGGAGCGGCCAUCCGAUACUGCUAUGGCUAGAGUCCGGUAGGGGACCACGGAAUUCCUGGUGUAGCGGUGAAAUGCGCAGAUAUCAGGAGGAACACCGGUGGCGAAGGCGGCCUGCUGGGCAGUAGCUGACGCUGAGGCGCGACAGCGUGGGGAGCAAACAGG